rnacentral:rRNA from 1 species
GACGAACGCUGGCGGCGUGCUUAACACAUGCAAGUCGAACGAGUGGCGAACGGGUGAGUAAUACGUGAGUAACCUGCCCUCUUUUUGGGAUAAGCCUUGGAAACUGGGUCUAAUACCGGAUAAAGGGGGAUGGGCUCGCGGCCUAUCAGCUUGUUGGUGGGGUGAUGGCCUACCAAGGCGGUGACGGGUAGCCGGCCUGAAAGGGUGGCCGGCCACAUUGUGACUGAGAUACGGCCCAGACGCCUAGGGGAGGCCGCAGUGGGGGAUAUUGCAAAAGGGGGGAAAGCCUGAUGCAGCGACGCUGCGUGGGGGGUGAAGGCUUUCGGGUUGUAAACCUCUUGCGGUACCGAACGGGUAGGUGGAGAAGAAGCGCCGGCUAACUACGUGCCAGCAGCCGCGGUAAUUC